AUUGAACGCUGGCGGCAGGCCUAACACAUGCAAGUCGAGCGGAUGAAGGGAGCUUGCUCCUGGAUUCAGCGGCGGACGGGUGAGUAAUGCCUAGGAAUCUGCCUGGUAGUGGGGAUAACGUCCGGAAACGGGCGCUAAUACCGCAUACGUCCUUCGGGAGCAAGUGGGGGAUCUUCGGGCCUCACGCUAUCAGAUGAGCCUAGCGCGGAUUAGCUGAUUGGUGGGGUAAAGGCCUACCAAGGCGACGAUCCGUAACUGGUCUGAGAGGAUGAUCAGUCACACUGAGACUGAUAGACGACACAGACUCCUACGGGAGGCAGCAGUGGGGAAUAGUGGACGCUGGGCGGAAGCCUGAUCCAGCCAUGCCGGGUGUGUGAAGAAGGUCUUCGGAUUGUAAAGCACUUUAAGUUGGGAGGAAGGGCAGUAAUUUAAUACCUUGCUGUUUUGACGUUACCAACAGAAUAAGCACCGGCUAACUUCGUG
rnacentral:rRNA from 1 species